ensembl:lncRNA
UUGGGAUCCUCUUGUUCAGUCUGUCAGAAUGCUGAGAUUGCAGACAUGUGCCACAGUGUCCAGCAGACUGCUUGAACUUUAUGGAAGCAGGCGCUUGCCCCCUAGGGAUGGAGCCAGGCGGGGAAGCCGGGUGAUGGACUCCACAGUUGACCAAGGGGCACAGGGGUGCGGAACACACUCGCGGCUUGCAGAUUUUGCUUCCGAGAUGGGUUCCGUGAGGCGCAGCGCGAGCAGCGGACCGGGAGGAGCUCGCGGCGGGGCUAGCGUGGAACCCGGGCCCGGAGCCCCUCCCGCCUCCAGGCUGGAUUCUCCAGGCCGAGGUGCGCCCCAGCGGCCUAGCGCUCCAG